GUGAAAGCUGGCGGUAGGCCUAACACAUGCAAGUCGAACGGCAGCACAGUAAGAGCUUGCUCUUACGGGUGGCGAGUGGCGGACGGGUGAGGCAUACAUCGGAAUCUACUUUUUCGUGGGGGAUAACGUAGGGAAACUUCCGCUACUACCGCAUACGACCUACGGGUGAAAGCAGGGGAUCUUCGGACCUUGCUCGAUUGAAUGAGCCGAUGUCGGAUUAGCUAGUUGGCGGGGUAAAGGCCCACCAAGGCGACGAUCCGUAGCUGGUCUGAGAGGAUGAUCAGCCACACUGGAACUGAGACACGGUCCAGACUCCUACGGGAGGCAGCAGUGGGGAAUAUUGGACAGUGGGCUCAAGCCUGAUCCAGCCAUACCGCGUGGGUGAAGAAGGCCUUCGGGUUGUAAAGCCCUUUUGUUGGGAAAGAAAAGCAGCAGGUUAAUACCCCGCUGUUCUGACGGUACCCAAAGAAUAAGCACCGGCUAACUUCGUG
rnacentral:rRNA from 1 species